rnacentral:rRNA from 1 species
AGAGUUUGAUCCUGGCUCAGGAUGAACGCUAGCUACAGGCUUAACACAUGCAAGUCGAGGUGGCAGCAUGGUCUUAGCUUGCUAAGGCCGAUGGCGACCGGCGCACGGGUGAGUAACACGUAUCCAACCUGCCGUCUACUCUUGGACAGCCUUCUGAAAGGAAGAUUAAUACAAGAUGGCAUCAUGAGUCCACAUGUUCACAUGAUUAAAGGUAUUCCGGUAGACGAUGGGGAUGCGUUCCAUUAGAUAGUAGGCGGGGUAACGGCCCACCUAGUCUUCGAUGGAUAGGGGUUCUGAGAGGAAGGUCCCCCACAUUGGAACUGAGACACGGUCCAAACUCCUACGGGAGGCAGCAGUGAGGAAUAUUGGUCAAUGGACGAGAGCCUGAACCAGCCAAGUAGCGUGAAGGAUGACUGCCCUAUGGGUUGUAAACUUCUUUUAUAAAGGAAUAAAGUCGGGUAUGCAUACCCGUUUGCAUGUACUUUAUGAAUAAGGAUCGGCUAACUCCGUGCCAGCAGCCGCGGUAAUACGGAGGAUCCGAGCGUUAUCCGGAUU